AGGUGCGAUCAUACCAGCACUAAUGCAACGGAUCCCAUCAGAACUCCGCAGAUAAACGUGCUUGGGCGAGAGUAGUACUAGGAUGGUUGACCUCUUGGGAAGUCCUCGUGUUGCACUUC
rnacentral:rRNA from 1 species